UCCCCAGACUCCUACGGGGGGCAGCAGUGAGGAAUAUUGGUCAAUGGCCGCAGGGCUGAACCAGCCAAGUCGCGUGAGGGAUGACGGUCCUAUGGAUUGUAAACCUCUUUUGUCAGGGAGCAAAGGGCGCCACGUGUGGCGUUUUGCGAGUACCUGAAGAAAAAGCAUCGGCUAACUCCGUGCCAGCAGCCGCGGUCAUACGUAGGAUCCGAGCAUUAUCCGGAGUGACUGGGUGUAAAGAGUUGCGUAGGUGGCAUAAUAAGUAGCUAGUGAAAUCUGGUGGCUCAACCAUUCAGACUAUUAGCUAAACUGUUAAGCUCGAGACCGUUAGGGGUAACUGGAAUUUCUAGUGUAGGAGUGAAAUCCGUAGAUAUUAGAAGGAACACCAAUAGCGUAGGCAGGUUGCUGGGACGGUUCUGACACUAAGGCACGAAAGCGUAGGGAGCAAACGGGAUUAGAUACCCUCGUA
rnacentral:rRNA from 1 species